rnacentral:rRNA from 1 species
GACGAACGCUGGCGGCGUGCUUAACACAUGCAAGUCGAACGAGAAUCUGUGGAAAGAGGAUUCGUCCAAUUGAAGCAGAGGACAGUGGCGGACGGGUGAGUAACGCGUGAGGAACCUGCCUUUCAGAGGGGGACAACAGUUGGAAACGACUGCUAAUACCGCAUAACACAUAGGUGUCGCAUGGCACUUAUGUCAAAGAUUUAUCGCUGAAAGAUGGCCUCGCGUCUGAUUAGCUAGUUGGUGAGGUAACGGCCCACCAAGGCGACGAUCAGUAGCCGGACUGAGAGGUUGAACGGCCACAUUGGGACUGAGAUACGGCCCAGACUCCUACGGGAGGCAGCAGUGGGGAAUAUUGGGCAAUGGGCGCAAGCCUGACCCAGCAACGCCGCGUGAAGGAAGAAGGCUUUCGGGUUGUAAA